rnacentral:rRNA from 1 species
CCAUUGCCUAUGCCUAGUACGGCGAGUGAAGCGGCAACAGCUCAAAUUUGAAAGCUAGCCUUCGGGUUCGCAUUGUAAUUUGUAGAGGAUGAUUUGGGGAAGCCGCCUGUCUAAGUUCCUUGGAACAGGACGUCAUAGAGGGUGAGAAUCCCGUAUGUGACAGGAAAUGGCACCCUAUGUAAAUCUCCUUCGACGAGUCGAGUUGUUUGGGAAUGCAGCUCUAAAUGGGAGGUAAAUUUCUUCUAAAGCUAAAUAUUGGCGAGAGACCGAUAGCGCACAAGUAGAGUGAUCGAAAGAUGAAAAGCACUUUGGAAAGAGAGUUAAAAAGCACGUGAAAUUGUUGAAAGGGAAGCGCUUGCAAUCAGACUUGUUUAAACUGUUCGGCCGGUCUUCUGACCGGUUUACUCAGUUUGGACAGGCCAGCAUCAGUUUCGGCGGCCGGAUAAAGGCUCUGGGAAUGUGGCCUCCACUUCGGUGGAGGUGUUAUAGCCCAGGGUGUAAUACGGCCAGCCGGGACUGAGGUCCGCGCUUCGGCUAGGAUGCUGGCGUAAUGGUUGUAAGCGACCCGUCUUGAAACACGGACCA